rnacentral:rRNA from 1 species
CCUACGUGUGGCAGCAGUGAGGAAUAUUGGUCAAUGGACGCAAGUCUGAACCAGCCAUGCCGCGUGCAGGAAGACGGCUCUAUGAGUUGUAAACUUCUUUUGUACGGGAGUAAAGGCAUACACGCGUGUAUAUUUGAAUGUAUCCUACGAAUAAGGAUCGGCUAACUCCGUGCCAGCAGCCGCGGUAAUACGGAGGAUUCGAGCGUUAUCCGGAUUUAUUGGGUUUAAAGGGUGCGUAGGUGGUUGGUUAAGUCAGUGGUGAAAGCUCGCGGCUCAACUGUAAAAUUGCCUUUGAUACUGUUCGGCUAGAGUGUAGUUGCGGUAGGCGGAAUGUGUGGUGUAGCGGUGAAAUGCUUAGAGAUCAUACAGAACUCCGAUUGCGAAGGCAGCUUACUAAGCUACUUCUGACAUUGAGGCACGAAAGCGUGGGGAGCAAACAGGAUUAGAUACCCCAGUAGUC